ACCACCCUGUGAUUUUCUGAUGUCUAACCUCGCACCGUUAGCCGGUGUAGGGACCCUCUGUGGCGGGUAGUUUGACUGGGGCGGUCGCCUCCCAAAUAGUAACGGAGGCGCGCGAUGGUAUGCUCAGGACGGUCGGAAAUCGUCCACUGAGUGCAAUAGCAGAAGCAUGCCUGACAGCGAGACUGACAAGUCGAGCUGAGACGAAAGUCGGUUAUAGUGAUCCGGUGGUUCCACAUGGAAGGGCCAUCGCUCAACGGAUAAAAGGUACUCCGGGGAUAACAGGCUGAUAGCGCCCAAGCGUCCACAGCGACGGCGCUGUUUGGCACCUCGAUGUCGGCUCAUCUCAUCCUGGGGCUGAAGCAGGUCCCAAGGGUAUGGCUGUUCGCCAUUUAAAGAGGUACGUGAGCUGGGUUCAGAACGUCGUGAGACAGUUCGGUCCCUAUCUGCCGUGGGAGUUGGAGUCUUGAGAAGAGCUGCCCUUAGUACGAGAGGACCGGGGUGGACGAACCUCUGGUGUAUCUGUUGUUCCGCCAGGAGCACCGCAGAGUAGCUAUGUUCGGACAGGAUAACCGCUGAAAGCAUCUAAGCGGGAAGCCCCCUUCGAUACUAGGACUCCCUAUCAGAGCCGUGGAAGACCACCACGUUGAUAGGCUGGAUGUGGAAGUGUGGUAACACAUGAAGCUAACCAGUACUAAUUGCUCGAUCGGCUUGAAUUCAUCCA
rnacentral:rRNA from 1 species